GCAAGGUCAGGCCUGCAGAUUAAAUCGCCGCUGCAGGUGCUCCCUGCAGACACUCCAGCUGGACUGAGACCCAACCAUGUCUCUGCUGGCAGCUGUGCUGCUGCUCUGGGGUCCAGCAACAGAUGCAGCCCCCAGCGUGUUGAAGGAUAACACAGGAAACAAGCCCUUGCCCAGACCCUGGCUUUCUGUUGAGCCAGUGUCCUGGAUCACACCUGGCCUGAGUACAUUCCUGGUGUGCCAGGCGCCACUGCCAGAUGUAACCUUCCUGUUGAAGCGGGAAGGAGAUGUUGGUUUCCAGGAAGUAGCUGAAACCGAUGGUUUCCUGGAACUAGCUGCACCCGAUGGUUUCCUGGAAACAGCUGAAGCCAGGAAAGGUGACAAGGAACUGGCCACUUUCCUAGUCCACAAACCUGGCACCUAUAGCUGCAGCUACCUAAUUCACACAUCAGCUGUGCCCUCUGCGCCCAGUGAUACUGUGACUAUCAAGGAAUAUGUCAUACCGCCUCCACCGGUGCUGACCUCUUCCGGAAGUUUCACGGUGAUCCUACUUAUGAAGGUCCACAGGACCCUUGUCUGUGAGGCUCCACUGAUGGAUGUUGAAUUCCAGCUGAGGCAGGGCGAGCACAAGCUGAACCUCCCCUCCAUCAGCACCAGCCCAGAGCAGAUCAAGUUCUAUCUGAAACGAUCGGAUCUGGGGGACCAGAGCCCAUUCACCUGUCGCUACCGUCUACACAGCAAUACAGCUUGGUCCAAUGACAGUGAGCCCGUAGAGCUAAUGUGGAGUGAUGAGACACUGCCGGCCCCGGAGCUCACUGCCGAGCCAUCGAAUCAGACCAUUGAACCUGAUUCCAUGGUGCAGUUUCGAUGUACCGCCCCUAAGGCUGGCCUGCGCUUCGGCCUGCACCGUGAAGACCCGUACGAGAGCAUCCUGCUGCAGACGCUGAAGACAGCUGGCAACGAGGCUGUCUUUCAGCUGCACAACGUCUCAGCAGAAGACACUGCAGACUACAGCUGCAUCUACGUGGAACUAGCCCCGCCCUUCUCAGGAUCCGCUCCCAGCGAGUUCGUGGAGCUGACUGUGGAUGGUGAGCUGAGCAUAGCCACGUGGGUAGGAAGUCCCAUGGGGUGCUCCGAUAAGGGAUCGGAUUCCUGGACUGUGGUCCUGUGAGGGGCCAUUCUUUCUAUGCUGUGCCUUAAUGAGGCUUUGGACUUUGAAGUCCUUGAAGUUACCUCUCUCAGAUAAGGCAUGGAACUCUGGUCUUUCUUCCUCUCCCCCUCCCCCCGGCCCCCGAGUUGGAACUAGAAGUGGGCAGGCGAAAUCGUGUUCAAGAGGGUUAGGGUCUGAGCUGCUCCUGUUCAGAUACACCCUGCUCUCUUUAGUUUCCUUGUGCUGCAAGUAUGUCAGCUUCACUCAGUAGCAGUCACUGCCUGUUCUGACCUGGGGCUGUCCCUACGGUUUGAGCUAAUGUGUAAUUUUCCAGAGCCCUGGAGUCCCUGGGGUCUAUUUGUUCCUCUGAUUUCCUCAUUGAGGUCUCCUUGGGUCAGAGGUCAGACAGGCAGAGAGACCACACAGAGUUUCCAGUCAGGCUUAAGUUUGACCCCAGACCUUUGAACUGUGCUUCUGCCUGAGCAGAAUCCUGAAGGUUUCUUCACCUAUCUGGGGAGUCAGUUAAGCCCUGGGGUAGGCUAAAGCCUGGCAGAUCUCAUAGCGCUUGUGAUGCUGGAAGAGAUACAAAUGGGUAGCAAAGGAGCGAGGCAACAGAGAGAGCUGCCUGACCCAAAGUGGGCAGUGCAAACAAAGUAGCUAAAGUAAAGUCACCAUGGGGCCCGGCAAGAAAUGUUCAAACUGAGUAUCUUCCUUCACACCCACUCCCAACCAGGGCCACCACCACCACCAAAGCUCCAGGCACUAUGGACAGAAAGGUGAUGUAGCUGCAGACACAGGACACAAUGGUAUUCUUGGAAAGAGGUGAAGAUGGGCAGAACUCCUAUGCUUCCUUCCCACUGCAAGACGCAUUUCCCUCAAUCACCCUGUACUUAUUAAAGGUUAAGCAAGAGUUUACUUAAAA